CUGUACUCAGUCUGUUCGCAUUAAAUUAAAGCUGUUCAUUGCUGCGGAAGUUAGUGCAACACUGUGGGUUUGUUCCACACCAAUUUCCUACACGUGCUGCAGAUCAGAAUAUUAUUCUUUUUUCCGCCUAAUAGUCUACUUUUUAUUUGAUUUGAUUUAUUGUUUUUAUUUAUAAAUCUUGCCUACGUCCUUAUUGCCUGUAGCUGUUUCACGCGACGUUAUUGGAGCAGUGAAGACGCGAGCCAGCGCGAGCCUGCGCGAGCUCUACACGCCCAUGAGAACCGGGCAGGAAAACGUCGCGUGCGUGAGCGUGUGUGUAUGUGUACAUGUACACACUACAGCUUCUCGGACUUUCUAUGGAUGUGAUAUCUCAAGAACAUGUCCUUGUUUUUGAAGAUGGAUCCUUUUAGUCUUGUCCUCGACGCAGCAGAGACCAGCACGAGCACUAUGAUGUCUGCAAGGGCAGAUAUCCAACUACAGCCUUGUCGGAUUCACGAU
ensembl:lncRNA